rnacentral:rRNA from 1 species
UACGUAGGGGGCAAGCGUUAUCCGGAUUUACUGGGUGUAAAGGGAGCGCAGGCGGCGCGGCAAGUCUGAUGUGAAAGCCCGGGGCUCAACUCCGGGACUGCUUUUGAAACUGUUGAACUAGAUUGCAGGAGAGGUAAGUGGAAUUCCUAGUGUAGCGGUGAAAUGCGUAGAUAUUAGGAGGAACACCAGUGGCGAAGGCGAUUUGCUGGGCCAUUACUGACGCUCAUGCACGAAAGCGUGGGGAGCAAAUAGG